ACCGAGGGUGCACUCAGCAGCAGUGUGCUCAGCCGGACAGGGCCAUUUCAGCUCGCUCUUUCUCUCUCAGGGGUCCUAAUGAGAGAGAGAGACAGAGUAUGAGCGAGAGAGAGAGAGAGCUCUGUUGCAGGCUAAUAUGAGGGCAGCUCUGGGCUCUGCAGUGAGUUAGCUUACCCUUGAGGGAGAUCCAUGGAGAUUAUUAAAUGAUGUUGGAUCUGUCUUAUCUCUGCUAUGUGGCGUUCCCGGGAGAUGGAGAGCUGGUGAUAAGGACGGAUGCUGGAUUCUGGAGAGAUCUUGGGUUUGGAAAGUAUAGGUGGGUUUGACCGCAACACCAAAGGCUGAGGUUUGGAGGAUGUUCACCUGUACAGAAAGUACCUGCACAGCAAGCUGAUGGUGAUUCGCUCUCCCUCCCGAGGCCUCUUCCACCUGUGGUAUGAGAAGCAGUGUGCAGACGAGCUGCCGCCAGACAAGUAUAAGAUGUGUAUGCAGACCAAGGCCAUGAGCGAGGUCUCUCACAGCCACCUGGGGAGCUGUUCUUCCUACAGGAGAUCCAGGAGCAUCUGACACCUGGAGAGGAGAGACAUCCUCUGGGUUUUGUUGAGAGAACAAUGUCUUUCUCCUUCUACAGACUUAACACAGGGCCUGAUGAGGGAGAGUAUAGGGAUGAGACAUGAACUUUGUCAUGACAUGACAGAAACUUGAUUAAAUUAAAAAAAUGGUGAUGUUAUGUAGGCAUACUAACUCAUUGUAUGUCCUCUAUUGCCAUCUUCCUUCCUGUACUGAGUCUGAAAGCAGGGAGGUCAGAAUAAUAUUUUACUGUCUUUGUUGUAUUGAGACUGUCAGCUUCAGAUUAUGCCUGCUAUGGACUCUCAACUCAAUGAAAGUAAUAUUUUUGGCUUUAUAACUGUGUGUGAAUAUGUAUGUCACGGCCGUCGUUAAAGGAAGACCAAAGCGCAGCGUAGUGAGCGGUCAUAUUCCUUUAUAAUUUAGAAAAUGUCGCCAACAAAACAACAAACGAAGAACACAACCGUGACGCUUACAGGGCUAAGUGCCACUAACAAAGAUAACUACCCACACUGAAAGGAGGGAAAAAGGGCUACCUAAGUAUG